ACGCAUGCCAAGCCAAACUUGGGGAGACUAUAGUAAGAGAAUCUGUUUUCUCCAUCUUUGGUUGUUUCUGUUUUCGAAAUUCCUUUCCUCUAGGUUCGGAGAAAAAGUUCCUUUUGAAAGGAGGAUUCCAACUUUGCUUUGAAUAAGAGGGAGGAAAGAGGGUUUCCGUGCCAGGCCCAACUAGGUCUACAACAGGAUAGUUAAAGAGCUUAUUCAAAAGGCUUGAACCGAGCAGCCGUGCAGGCAAGCCGAACACAAAAGGAAGCAAAAUACCCCAAGGGUGGCGAGAGCCAGGCCACGGGUGUCCAAGUGCGCCGGCCUCCCCCAGCAGCGGGUUCAUUCCCGGGCUCCUGCUCCUUCUCAGUUACUCGGCCCUCGGUCCCUUGGGCACAGUACCUGGAAUCGAGCUGCGUCUGCCGAGAAGCGUCUCGUGUCGAAUUUGGCCCCCGCGCCGAGCCGGCGAAAGAGAUCGUGGACGUCCAUCUUUACCCAGAAAGCGCCACAGUUCUACGGCGCCUGCGCAGACUACUUCCCAGGCCCCGGGCAGCGUCGGAAGAGGGCGUGAGCAUAAUUGGCUCCUGUAGGCGGAGCCUGGCUGGAUAAAGAAACAGAAACUCAAAGAAGUAACCAGGUCUGUAAACCCCGCACUUUGAGAGGCUGAGGCAGAAGGGAUUGUUUGAAGCCAGGAGAUUGAGACCAGCCUGCACAAUAUAAGGAGACCUUGUCUCUGCAAAAAAUUUAAAAAACAAAAGAAACUCAAAGAGUAACAGAUUCAAGUUUUCGCAUCAGUUUGUUCGAUGAAGGAUCACAACAUAGACAGUACGGCUUUCUUGCUUCCUCUUCGGAGGUUCCUUGUCUCCCACCUCCAGGACAGACAGGAGUCCUUGACAUCGUGGGAGAGGCAUUGUGGCAAUACUGCAUAGAAGGGAAACUGGGCUUCGGGCUGCGCCUCCUGAGAGUGGAUUGUCUGAGGUGCCAGCAGGACGUCCGUCAGAUUUCAGGUGGAGGAGAGAGAAAACGGCUUGUGACCUUGCAGGUUUCAAAAGAAGAGCAAACAAGAAGGGCAGAUAAGGAGACGCCAGUGAGAUUCUAUGGCCUGUCAUUAGGGAUGGGCUUCCCAGCUAUCAAAUGUUUGCUCACAUAAUAAAAUGGUGGCAGAGCCCAAAAUGUUGUCAAAAGAACUAGAGUUAUUUGCCUCCUUCAGAGUCUAAACACAAACAUCUGAUAAGGGGUGCACUGUGGUCCCUUAGAACUGGAGGCCCAGCACACGCAGCCCCACGGGGGCCUGGCCCAGAAGAUCUCUGAGAGACCGCGGGGCCCUCCGUCUGAAAGGUGUGGUAGCUGUGGCAAAUGUGAAGGACAUCCUUAUUCUAAGAGGAUUUGUUACAUAAUGGUAAGAGCUAACAUUUAUCGACAUCCUACUGUGUGCCAGGCACCAUACCAA
rnacentral:lncRNA from 10 species